CACGUAGGGUGCGAGCGUUGUCCGGAAUUAUUGGGCGUAAAGAGCUCGUAGGCGGUGUGUCGCGUCGGCCGUGAAAACUUGGGGCUUAACUCUGAGCGUGCGGUCGAUACGGGCAUCACUUGAGUUCGGCAGGGGAGACUGGAAUUCCUGGUGUAGCGGUGAAAUGCGUAGAUAUCAGGAGGAACACCGGUGGCGAAGGCGGCUCCCUGGACAGAAACUGACGCUCAUGCACGAAAGCUAGGGGAGCAAACAGG
rnacentral:rRNA from 1 species